rnacentral:misc_RNA from 1 species
AGCAGCCGCGGUAAUUCCAGCUCCAAUAGCGUAUAUUAAAGUUGUUGCAGUUAAAAAGCUCGUAGUUGAAUUUCGGGAUUGACACAUCGGUCGUGCCUUAAGGGGUAUGAACUGGUGUAGUCAAUUUCUCACCUUCUGGAGAACCGCGAUGCCCUUAAUUGGGUGUCGCGGGGAACCAGGACCUUUACUUUGAAAAAUUAGAGUGUUUAAAGCAGGCAUUUUGCUUGAAUACAUUAGCAUGGAAUAAUAAAAUAGGACGGCAUGAUUCUAUUUUGUUGGUUUCUAGGAUCACCGUAAUGAUUAAUAGGGAUAGUUGGGGGCAUUAGUAUUCAAUUGUCAGAGGUGGAAUUCUUGGAUUUAUUGAAGACUAACUACUGCGAAAGCAUUUGCCAAGGAUGUUUUCAUUAAUCAAGAACGAAAGUUAGGGGAUCGAAGACGAUCAGAUACCGUCGUAGUCUUAACCAUAAACUAUGCCGACUAGGAAUCAGACGAUGUUAAUUUUUAAUGUACUCGUUUGGCA